rnacentral:ribozyme from 1 species
GCUCGAAAUAUUAAAAAACAACAAAAAAAGAAAGAAAGAAAGAAACAAACAAACAAAGACUGCAGCACACAAACACCACCUGGUCAGAUGUUUUUUUUAUGGUCGUUCCAACCUCAUCCAUACAUCCUCCUCCUGUCUCUUUCUUUCCAUAUACGUCAUCUUUGACUUCAUUUUGUUUUGGUCAUUAAAAAAAAAAAGGAAAUGUUGAGCU